rnacentral:rRNA from 1 species
UACGUAGGGGGCUAGCGUUGUCCGGAAUCAUUGGGCGUAAAGAGCGUGUAGGCGGUCCGGUAAGUCCGCUGUGAAAGUCAAAGGCUCAACCUUUGAAAGCCGGUGGAUACUGUGAGGCUAGAGUACGGAAGAGGCGAGUGGAAUUCCUGGUGUAGCGGUGGAAUGCGCAGAUAUCAGGAGGAACACCAAUAGCGAAGGCAGCUCGCUGGGACGUUACUGACACUGAGGCGCGAAAGCGUGGGGAGCGAACAGG